GACGAACGCUGGCGGCGUGCCUAACACAUGCAAGUCGAACGGGAUGCGUAUCGGAAAGCUUCGGCCGGAAGAUACGUUAUCUAGUGGCGGACGGGUGAGUAACACGUGGGUAACCUGCCUUAUGGAGGGGGAUAACAGAGAGAAAUCACUGCUAAUACCGCAUAAGCACACAGUACCGCAUGGUACAGGGUGAAAAGAUUUAUCACCAUAAGAUGGACCCGCGUCUGAUUAGCCAGUUGGCAGGGUAAAAGCCUACCAAAGCAACGAUCAGUAGCCGAUCUGAGAGGAUGACCGGCCACAUUGGGACUGAGACACGGCCCAAACUCCUACGGGAGGCAGCAGUGGGGAAUAUUGCACAAUGGGGGAAACCCUGAUGCAGCGACGCCGCGUGAGUGAAGAAGUAUUUCGGUAUGUAAAGCUCUAUCAGCAGGGAAGAUAAUGAC
rnacentral:rRNA from 1 species